AUGAACGCUGGCGGCGUGCCUAAUACAUGCAAGUCGAGCGAACAGACGAGGAGCUUGCUCCUCUGACGUUAGCGGCGGACGGGUGAGUAACACGUGGAUAACCUACCUAUAAGACUGGGAUAACUUCGGGAAACCGGAGCUAAUACCGGAUAAUAUAUUGAACCGCAUGGUUCAAUAGUGAAAGACGGUUUUGCUGUCACUUAUAGAUGGAUCCGCGCCGCAUUAGCUAGUUGGUAAGGUAACGGCUUACCAAGGCAACGAUGCGUAGCCGACCUGAGAGGGUGAUCGGCCACACUGGAACUGAGACUCGGUCCAGACUCCUACGGGAGGCAGCAGUAGGGAAUCUUCCGCAAUGGGCGAAAGCCUGACGGAGCAACGCCGCGUGAGUGAUGAAGGUCUUCGGAUCGUAAAACUCUGUUAUUAGGGAAGAACAAAUGUGUAAGUAACUAUGCACGUCUUGACGGUACCUAAUCAGAAAGCCACGGCUAACUACGUG
rnacentral:rRNA from 1 species